rnacentral:misc_RNA from 2 species
AACGCACAUUGCGCUUCCUGGUAUUCCGGGGAGCAUGCUCGUUUCAGAAUCAAUAUGUUCUCACAAACUAUAUGGGUUGCAAAACCCCUAUUGGGCGUGGAUUUGGGCAUUUUUGCUAUGGUGUCUUUGUGCAACAUUGCAAUUGCCUUAAAAUGAUUGCGUGUAUGCCCCAAUUGGUAGUAAUUGGUUUACCCUCAAUGCAACAGUCAAAUGAAACAUUUUGGGGGACCUUUUGUGAACAUUGGACUUGGAAUACACUUCCAUUCUAUACAGCAACCAUCUCUAGUAUUGAGAUUGUUUCUGAACCUUGGUCUGAAAUCGAGCAAGAAAACCCGCUGAACUUAA